GAAAUGCGAUAAGUAGUGUGAAUUGCAGAAUUCAGUGAAUCAUCGAAUCUUUGAACGCACAUUGCGCCCCUUGGUAUUCCAUGGGGCAUGCUUGUUCGAGCGUCAUUUGUACCCUCAAGCUUUGCUGGUGUUGGGCGGUUGUCCUUUCUUUGCGUUGGGACUCGCCUCAAAGUCAUUGGCAGCCAGUGUAUUGGUUUGAAGCGCAGCACAAUUUGCGGCUCGAAUUGGUGAUCACUCGCGUCCAUCAAGUACAAUUAACACUUUUGACCUCGGAUCAAGUAGGGAUACCCGCUGAACUUAAGC
rnacentral:misc_RNA from 1 species